UACGUAGGGUGCAAGCGUUGUCCGGAAUUAUUGGGCGUAAAGAGCUCGUAGGUGGUUUGUCGCGUUGUUCGUGAAAACUCACAGCUCAACUGUGGGCGUGCGGGCGAUACGGGCAGACUGGAGUACUGCAGGGGAGACUGGAAUUCCUGGUGUAGCGGUGAAAUGCGUAGAUAUCGAGAGGAACACCUGCGGCGAAGGCGGGUUGCUGGGCUGACACUGACGCUGAUGCGCGAAAGCUAGGGGAGCGAACGGG
rnacentral:rRNA from 1 species